AACCUACUAGCUCAAUGAGUAGAGCAUUGUGAAAAUGCAUAAAGAUGUGGGUUUAAAUCCCACGUAGGUUC
rfam:Spinacia oleracea cultivar SynViroflay scaffold15505.con0002.1, whole genome shotgun sequence.